rnacentral:rRNA from 1 species
AACGAACGCUGGCGGCAUGCCUAACACAUGCAAGUCGAACGAGACCUUCGGGUCUAGUGGCUCACGGGUGCGUAACGCGUGGGAACCUGCCCUUAGGUUCGGAAUAACUCCCCGAAAGGGGUGCUAAUACCGGAAAAUGUCUUCGGACCAAAGAUUUAUCGCCUUUGGAUGGGCCCGCGUUGGUUUAGCUAGUUGGUAGGGUAAAAGCCUACCAAGGCGACGAUCCAUAGCUGGUCUGAGAGGAUGAUCAGCCACACUGGGACUGAGACACGGCCCAGACUCCUACGGGAGGCAGCAGUGGGGAAUAUUGGACAAUGGGCGAAAGCCUGAUCCAGCAAUGCCGGGUGAGUGAUGAAGGCCUUAGGGUUGUGAAGCUCUUUUACCCGGGAUGAUAAUGACAGUACCGGGAGAAUAAGCUCCGGCUAACUCCGUG